rnacentral:rRNA from 1 species
AGCGGAGGAAAAGAAACUAACAAGGAUUCCCCUAGUAACUGCGAGUGAAGCGGGAAGAGCUCAAAUUUGAAAUCUCCUUCGGGCGAGUUGUAAACUGGAGAAGCGUUAUCAGACGUCGRCCGCACUAAAGUCUCCUGGAAUGGAGUGUCAUAGAGGGUGAGAAUCCCGUGCUUGGUGCGAUUGCGGCGUUGUAGAGGCGUUUUCUAUGAGUCGAGUUGUUUGGGAAUGCAGCUCAAAAUGGGUGGUAAACUCCAUCUAAAGCUAAAUACUGGCGAGAGACCGAUAGCGAACAAGUACCGUGAGGGAAAGAUGAAAAGGACUUUGGAAAGAGAGUUAAAGAGUACGUGAAAUUGCUGAAAGGGAAGCGCUUGGAGUGAGUCGCGCGGGCGGGAGUCAGCUCUGCGUACUUCCUGCCCGUGGGCCAGCAUCGACCUUGGACGGCGGAUAAGGGCGGUGGGAAUGUGGCAUCUCCGGAUGUGUUAUAGCCUGCUGUCGUACACGCCGACCGGGGUCGAGGACUGCUUAUAGGAUGCUGGCGUAAUGGCUCUAAGCGACCCGUCUUGAAACACGGACCC